GUGGAUAUAUAGCUUGGUGAAAAUACUGGUAGUUCUACUAGAUGUUAUGUUAUAUUAUAUUAUAUAUGAAAAGUUUCACCACAGACCAUAAUGGGAUUGGUGAGGAACAUUUAUUGAUCACUUUGUCUGAAUAAAGCCAAUGCAUACCAUUUUGAUCACGGCUCUGUUUUUGGCUGAUUCUAUCGACCAGUGGCUGUCAAGAAAUUUCAAUCUUUUUUCAGCUCUUCGUUUUUCCUUCGAUAGGUGUACUAUAAUCAUCAACUUUUGUUAUCUUCUUUUGCUCCAAAAAUGUGCACGAUUGUUUGUAUUUUUGUUUCGACGUGAUCAUUCAUGAACCAUCUCAUUCAGUUUUUUUCUUUUUUUUCUUUUCCACCGAUGAAUCCCUCAUCACAUCAAUCUUUCUCAUUAUGUGGUGCAUACCUUCUUUUCACUUUUUCACCAUUAAGCCCUCUUUUUUAU
rnacentral:lncRNA from 1 species